rnacentral:rRNA from 1 species
GAUCCUGGCUCAGGACGAACGCUGGCGGCGUGCCUAACACAUGCAAGUCGAACGAAGCUCCUGAUUGGAUUCUUCGGAUGAAGAGAAGGAAGACUUAGUGGCGGACGGGUGAGUAACGCGUGAGCAACCUGCCUUUCAGAGGGGGAUAACAGUUGGAAACGACUGCUAAUACCGCAUAACAUAAGAUCAUCGCAUGGUGGUUUUAUCAAAGCUGAGGCGCUGAAAGAUGGGCUCGCGUCCGAUUAGAUAGUUGGUGGGGUAACGGCCUACCAAGUCGACGAUCGGUAGCCGGACUGAGAGGUUGAACGGCCACAUUGGGACUGAGACACGGCCCAGACUCCUACGGGAGGCAGCAGUGGGGGAUAUUGCACAAUGGGCGAAAGCCUGAUGCAGCAACGCCGCGUGAGGGAAGACGGUUUUCGGAUUGUAAACCUCUGUCUUUGGUGAAGAAGAAAGUGACGGUAGCCAAGGAGGAAGCCACGGCUAACUACGUGCC